CAGUCGCCACGGGAAUACGAAGGGCGCAAGCGUUAAUCGGAAUUACUGGGCGUAAAGCGUGCGUAGGCGGUUUGUUAAGUCUGUUGUGAAAUCCCCGGGCUCAACCUGGGAAUGGCAAUGGAUACUGGCAAGCUAGAGUGUGUCAGAGGAUGGUGGAAUUCCCGGUGUAGCGGUGAAAUGCGUAGAUAUAGGAAGGAACACCAGUGGCGAAGGCGACCACCUGGACUAAUACUGACACUGAGGUGCGAAAGCGUGGGGGGCAAACAGGAUUAGAUACCCGAGUAGUCCCUGUCUCUUAUAA
rnacentral:rRNA from 1 species